rnacentral:lncRNA from 1 species
UGCUCAUAAAGGGUGAGUUGUGUGUAUGCGAGUGUGUCUGCAUAUUUCUACUGUGUUUUCAAAAAAAAAAAAAACUUGGUAGAAAGGACUGCCACUUUAUUCAGAAAAUAUAAGAUACUACAACAAAGAGUUGUUUCAUUGUGCCUAGUAUAUUGAGUAUCGAAUACUAGCACCAAUUCACUAUAUCUUUUUUUCAAGAGGUCAUCAGCAAUUCACUAUCACGGAGAGGGUAUACAUACAUAUAGCAUCUCAGCCCACUGCCUAUACAUACAGGCUACUCGUCUGAUAAUUUACCGAUGGUGGCAGUGUGGGUUGCUGUUUGGGUCGUAGGUCAUGUCGGAGGGACAUGGACCUGUAAGUUGUUGCAAGUACAGCCGUUUGAUGAACUGCAUGAUGGGAUGGCCAACGCCGGAGGCGGCUUCGCCGCCGCCGGCCCACUUGUCGCCUUCCACUCGGCGCGCCGACCCUGACACGACCAACAGCAUCAGCACCGCCAGCAGCAGCGGCAAAACGAACUUGCUGGUCAUGGCCAUUGUCCUAGCAAGCUGCUACAAGUUUAUUUUUGUAGUUAGGCCUAGCUAGGCUCUCAGCUGGCAAAGACAAAUUAAAACACUUGUUGAGUGAUUAGUUGUGUCUUGAGAGUUCUUGAGGACGAUGAAAUGUGCCCAGGUGUAUAUAUAGAGGCUUCAGGUUUGAAAUUCAAGCAUUGUGAAAAUUCCAUGCUAUUACUUACUACAUACUGCGUGUGCGACUCGACCGUGCAGUAGCCACACGGUUUGUCGCCGACCGACGACGUAGCGUUCAGCAGCGCGCGUUGCCACCUGCCGAGGUGUGAAUGUGACAAGCCUUUAGUUUUUUUUUUUUUUUUUUGAGUGGACAAGCCUUUAGUUAGGCUGGGGCCUCGUACUACAAUAGCAAGCGGGUAUGCUGGGCCUUUGUGCUGUGUAUCAUGUCGGCCCACUGCCCGUUGGUACGCUGGCCACACUUGAACUUGUCGUUUUAGUCUGUUUUCCAUACUUGAACUUAACUAACCCUCCUUAGCUCUAAAAAAUGUUCAAAAAUAAAUCCAUACUAUGAUUUUGAGUGGUUUUGAAGGUAGAUAUGUCCUUUUUAGUUUUAAAAAACUUUCUCUAUUCUAAAUUGUAAGUUAUUUUAGUUUUUCUAGGUACAUAGCAAGGUAUACAUUAUGCCUAAAUAUAUAAUAAACAUUAUGUAUCUAAAAAAGCCAAAAUAAUUUAUAAUUUGAAACAAUAAAUUUUGAAUUGUCAAAAUUCUUUCUCACCUCCAGCCCCCACUAUAUAUGCUCCAACCUUGCAGAAGACAACCUUUUUCUUCACUUCUUGUACUGAGCAAGAGGAUUUAAAACGUACGAAAUGGAGUUCGCAAGUGGAGAAACGAUUUACUAAAGUGAGAUGUGCUAUCAGCGGUGGGAAGGCCGUUUACAUAAUGUAAUUUCAUAGUAAUUUCGACGGAAAAUACUACUGAUGAAUUUAUUUCAUAUUUCGUGAGCAUCUAUUGAAUAAUUGUCCUUUUCUUUUUUCCCCCAACGAUGAGGUCAUCUCAUGAAGUGAUGGAAUGUUUCCUUGCGAAGUAGCCACGGCUGUUUGUCUAGACCGCCAGUCAAAAUUUCCUGCGUUCAGUACUCUAAAAAUAAAAUCCAUAUUCAAGUCAAAAGUCUAGCAGUCACAUCCAGUCUUCGAUCAAAACUAAACAAAAAAGUCAAGUCGCACAUUCGAAAUCAGAUACACAUGGAGUCAAUCAACUUUACAGGACAUGCGUUACACGAUCUUCCACUGGACCCUAGUCGCACAGCAUUCAGUGGUCAGAUGACAGUUGGUUUGAUCCACGCGGCAGGACCAUUGGACCCUGUUAAUUGGGUACUCCUACCUACGUGGCUUCGGUAACUAAUCUAGGUAGGAGUACCAAGAAUUAACAAGGCCCUAGUCUAGGUAUUUAGUAUGCCUGUUAAUAGGGACCCAGUUUAAAAAUAUGCAUAACAAAAUUUUUAUAUAUAAUUCGAUAAAAAUUAUUUAUCAAUUGGAUAAAUAUUUAUAAAUUUUACAAUACAAUUCAGUAUAUAGCUAAUAAGUAGCAUGAUAAGUCUAAUGACCUGUUAGAUCAGCUACGACUAGUUAUUAGUUGUGGAUAAAAAAUAGCUCAAAUUAGCUAGGGUUGACCAGAUAAUAGGCUAAGAGCAACUCCAAAUGACUCUUUGUGUCUUUCCCGAUGUAAAAAGACAAGACUUUUGUAAAAAAAAGCCCUCCAAAUGUAUCUUUAAUUGGAUCUCUAAAUAUAGCUGUCCUCUGUUCGAGAUUUUUGCUAGCUAAAGAUGGAGAUUGAGGCCUUGUUUAGUUCAUCCUAAAAUUAAAAAAAAAUUCAAGAUUUCUCGUCACAUCAAAUCUUAUGGUACAUGCAUGAAGCACUAAAUAUAAAUAAAAAAAAACUAAUUGGACAGUUUGUCUGUAAUUUACGAGACAAAUCUUUUGAGCCUAGUUAGUCUAUAUUUGGAUAAUAAUUAUCAAAUACAAACGAAAGUGCUACAGUAUCAAAAUCCAAAAUCUUUUCACAACUAAACAAGUCCUGAGGAUGGCUCUCUAAAGUGAGCACUAAGAGAUAGGAAAGUUACUGGAGGAUAUAAAGAUAUAGAAAUCAACUUUUACUCAAAUGACUUAGAUUUAGAUAGUAAAUUUUAAAAAUACUCUUAAAGUUGCUCUAAUAAUUACUAGUUAAAAACUUAGGUAAAAAAUUACCGUACAUAUUAGCCCCAUGUUUAGAUGGGUUAGGACUUAAGUUAGCCGACUAACAAUUAGCCGUGCAUCGAAACAUGUUCUCUUAAUUUCGAAGAUGAAGUUGAAAACUUCAGUUACAAUAAAACCAAUUCAAGUUAUGUAUUGAUAGUUUGAAAUAUAGACUUACAAUACUAAUUAUUUGACUUACAAUAAAUAUACAUAUACACACUAGGAGAGUAUGCUGAGGCACUCGUAUUUUUGUUUGGUCUCUCCAUGUAACGGGAGGUUCAACAUGUUAGGCUUAAUGCUGAGGAAUAUGCUAAUAAUCUCAUUAAAAUUCAUUGUACUUAAUAUUAACCACUAUUACAUAAAUGAUUCGUAAGAAACACCUUUUUUGGGGGAGAGAUGGCUCCACCUCGAUUUGUGAUAAUGGUUUUACUAAUUUUUGAUAAAGUGAAUACAUAUUUAUGAUACAUGUGCUACUAUAAAGUGAGGACCCAUCAUAUUCUACCCAGAUCCAAUUUACAAACAAAAGCCUGACAAAGACGAUUCACCAACAGUAACUAAACUUAUCACAUAGUACUAAACUUAGACCCAUCACAUUGUCGUUCUACCUGAGUAUCGAAUAUUAAUUAUCACGAUGACAGAGAGAAGAAGUAUGGCAGCUGACGCGUAUUUAUGCUUCCUGAUCUGCCGUGUUUGGUGUGUACUACCGUCUACUAAUGGCAGUUUGGGUUGUUUGUGUCGUAGGUAUCGCAGGAUGGCCCUGCUGUCGCCAGUUGCUGCAGGUACAGGCGUUUGAUGGUCUGUAUGAUAGGACGGCCGCCGACGCCGAAGGCGGACUCGCCGCCGGUGGAUGUGGAUCGAUCGCGGUCCAGGUCCAGCUGCCGCGCCGUCGACCCUGACACCGCCAACAGCAUCAGCACCGCGAUCAGCAGUGGCAAAACGAAUGACGACCUACUGAUCGACGUGGCCAUCCUUACAACGCAGCUGCAAACAGUGUUUCAGCGUAGCUGCUAGCAGGUUUCUGCAGUGUACGUAUAACCUUGUGUGCCUUUUCCUCUCUCUGAGCUAUACCUUGAUAUAAUCUGCAGGGGUAUAUAUAGGAGCUUCAAAGCUCUGCGAAAUUUCGAUGGAAGAAUUGCCUUCUUAAUGACGACGUGCGCGACUCGACACUGCGAGGGAGGUGCCGCUAUCACGCGGGUUUCUUCUGCUUCUACAUGCAUACAUACUGGUAGGUCUUCAGAACGGAAAACUGCAUCCAGUCCAAUUACAAAGCUUACAAUAAUCUCGGGAUGGAUUUUUAUAACCCAAAACUCAUAAUCCUGGGUGUUUGGAGUCCUCGAUUUGAUGUAGGUGCUUAUAUUUUUCUAGAUUUAUUGUAGAUCGGUGCUAUUAUUUUAAUAGUAAGUACACACUCUUGUAGAGAUAUAGAUGACUAUACAUGCAUGCGAGUAUCUCUGUGUUGACUUUUGUUUCGAAAAAAACUAAGAAUUGGAAUCAGGUGAGUAAUAAGAGUGCAGCUAUCUUUUACUCUUUUUUUUUGCAGGUAACCUUUCACAAUGUUUUGCAGGUCUACGCUCUUUGCAUUAUCAGGGUCGAACUUACUCUGAAAAAUUGAUGGUUUUUACGUGUGCGAGCCUGCAGUGGGCUGUGGCAAUGCACAUAUGCAAAUUUACACGGUUUCAUGCUCUGCCAAAAACUUCACAAAUAUUAUGCGGAAAGUAGUCCGUCGGCUGGCGAUGUAUGUAUGAUGUAUCUAUCCUUUCUUAUGAGCUUUAGGCCUUGUUCAGUCCGUGAAAAUUUUUGGUUUUCGCUACUGUAGUACUUUCGUUUAUAUGUGACAAAUAUUAUCCAAUUACAGAGAUUUGUCUCGUAAAUUACAAACAAACUGUACAAUUAGUUUUUAUUUUCGUCUAUAUUUAAUACUCCAUGCAUGCGUAUCAAGAUUCGAUGUGACGGAGAAUCUUAAAGUUUUUUUAAACUAAACAAGGCCUUAACUUGCGUGAAAAAAAAACUAGCGCUACAAUUCGUCUUGUGGAACCUGUGGUCCAUGUAGCUUUCGGUACAAAGAAGCACUGUUGCAUGACCGGCACUGAAUAAGGAGUGGAAGCGUCAGGAAUACAGGUGUGUAGUGUGGCUCCACGCGAAGACAAGAAAUUGACCAUAGAUAUUAUUCUGCUGACGCACUACUGAUGAUGGUUGGAGUUCACUGAUUGCCUAGUGAACACGGCGUAGAUUAAUUUUACCUUCCGUGAAAAUUCGGAAGGGAGACAUUUCUAAGAAACGUCCAAGAAAGUUUUGUCUGAUUGGAACCAAAGACAGAUCAAUUGGAAAUGCAGCGCUUGAAACAAAGUAAUGCUUUCCAGAUGGGGAGAUCGAUGUUGAAGUAGUGGAAGUUCGAGACAAGUACCUCUUUUUCAUUUUGUAUUUAAAACUUGAUGAAUUAUAUUUGUGGUUGAUCAGCCAUUUAAGAAAAUGAAUGUAGUUAGUUAAGUAUGUAUUUUCCUUUUGGCAAAAUUUAAUGAAGAUGUGAUGACUAGGGACGCUAUGGGCGCAAGACACUUUUAAGAAGAUCCUUUAAGCAUUUAGAGAACGAUGAUGACUCUCUAGAGUGCGCACAGUAUAUAGAAAAAAAUUAUUAUAUGAUAUAAAGGUAUAGAAAACAACAUUUUACUCAAACGACUCUUCAAAUAAUGAUUUAGAUAAUAAAUUUUAGAAAGACUUUUAUAGAUGUUUUUAGUUUUCCUUACUCUUUUCUCUUGUACCUUUUUUUUUCUUGUUUUGGGUUUUGGGGCUUAGGCCUCUUCCCUAUAUUAUAUUAAUAAACACCGAUCCGUUUAUAUCUUAGAAAAAAGUAUCGUUCGUAUCUUUUCUUUGCCUCUCAUAUGGUUUUGUUUUGCCCAUAAGUCGGUAAUCCUUUUUUUUAUGAAACUGGAGAAAUUUGUAUCCUUGAGAUAAAGGGUCUGUUUAGUUGGCUUUAGGGCUGCUUGAGCUUCCAAAAAGCCAAAGGGCUGCUUUUAAGCUAGGAUUUUUUUCUAGAAAUAACUGUUUUUUCUAGUAUAUUUUUAAAUGCAACAUAGAGCAUGCUUUUGGAUUUCGACUUUUUGAAAUGAAUGGAAUAAAGAACUCUUUCAUAGCUGUUUUAAGAGAGAUAAAAAAUGAGGUAUAUUUUAUAUUUAUUUCAAUGGCUUUCAGCUUUCUUACAACUGAUAUCUCACCAUAGUUUUUUCACUACUCACAGUCACAGCCUAACUUUUCCCACAUCCACAACUCAAUCAAAUAAAGAAACCCAAAAUACACUACCAAAAAGAAGGGUCAACAAGAACAGUCAACAAUUCAAGAAACGAAAAAUAGUAAAAAUAAUAUAAAAGAUAAUUGCAGAAUAUAUUCUUGGUCUUUUGUAAUUGAUCGAUGACGUCAGCAAUCUGGAUGAAGUCACGAAAAUGUUUGUAGUCAUACGUAACUAAGCCCCGUCUAAACUCUCCUGUACAUUCAAGUCCGAGUCUAGUAGUCAAGAGUAAAAUUCAAAGUUACAAUAUUUGAAUAUUUCACAUAUAUUCCCAGAUCACAAUCACAUGGAUGGAGACUACUGCAAACGGAUAAUCGAUAUCAGGGCCCUAGAUUGGUGCUCGGGCUUCCAAACUGUUGAUGCAGGUGCAUGCAACAGGUGCAUAUAUUGUACCUAAAAGUUGGUGCUCGGGCUUCCAAACUGCUUCCAAACUUCCAAAUAAAAGUUAGUUAGGGUAAGGCAUCAACAGCAAUAUUACCGCUGGCAACGAAGGCACAGUGGAAGUGUGGACUCUGGAGUACAGGUGCAUGCAUUGUUCCAAUCGAAGGGAAGGAUGCACCCGGGAACGAAACUGUACUGAUGUUUCAGAAUUGCCUAGUGAACAUGGCGCUAGAUCGAAUUGACGCGUCGCCCUUUUAGCUUGAACUUAUAGCAUGGAUUAUCGGCCAUUGCAUAGUGUUUUUCUCUCAUAACAAAUUAGCGAAUAAUACUUUUUAGCAUCAAUAUAAGUUUAAGCUAAUAGGAUGAUCCGAACAUCGUUCAAAAGGUGAAUUUAAUUUCUAAAAUGCCCUCAUCUCAAAAAAAACAUAUAUGGUAUGAAUCGUCUGGUCCAUUAAGAAGACUAAUCAAUCUGAAAUGCAGCCCUUGAAACAAAGGAAUACAGUAUUUAUCAAUGUUAAAGUGAGGCAGUGGGUUCCCACCUACCUCUAUGCCUAACACGGAACCAGCAAUUGGACAACAAUGACGUUUCUCCUUCGGCCCUCGCUAGAGAAUUUGCUAAGUGCGUCUCUGCGCCGCUGAAGACUCCCCCUCAAGGCACCACUAUGAUGUUGACCCUGUUGCUCUCCAUCUUUGGUCACCAUCUGUCGCACCACACGUCUAGCGGCAAAGUGUGUCUCUCAAGCCCCUAAUGCGACCCAUCAAGCACAGAAGGUGCUUGUGUCCAAGUGGAAACCUAAUGUCUCAUAGCUAUUGGAUACCUAGGUAGCUAGUGGCAAACUUCUAGCAGCUUGACUCUGCAAAAAGGGCCACACGUCAAGCGCUUAUGAAGUUCGACCUGGCGGGGGUCUAGUGAAUGUUCGAGGAGGCUUGCUAGUCUCAUUGGCACCUGCUCGAUUGGUUGCAAAACAUCCAUAUAAUAUGUAAUUUAAAUUAGGUUUAUUUGAGUCAUGUUAGCUUGCAUCCUUCCAUAAUAAUCUAUGGAUUACUUGGGAAUGUUGUAACUAGUCAAAUUGUGUUUCACAAGGACACGCUCUUGAAAAAAUUUAAAGUGAAAGUUUGAGAGAAGUACUUUUAACUUUCCUUGCUUCAAAUUAGACAGGUUUGUUUUCUUAUUUGCUGAUCAGCAUACAGUUUCCAAAAAAGAGAAUUCCUGGUGGGAUGCUCCCCUCCCUACCGACCAUUAAAAGAAAGCAUUUCUAAUUGUUACUUUUGGGGCUUUUCAAACGCAUUUAACUUUGCCUAUUUGCUUUAUGAGAUCAGCAACCUGAUGAAGUCAUGAAAUGUUUGCGCCACAUGACUAGCUAGACCGGUCAGAGUUUCUUGCGCAAGUCAAAGUCUACCAGUCAGUCACACAGACAUCAGAAAUAUCCUCUCUCUUACAGUUUCAGUACUGAGUCAAACUAUAUAAAGUUUAACUUUUUUAUAAAAAUAAUAUUUAUAAUAAUCAAAUAAGAAUUAUCAGUUUUUUGAAAUCCAUUUUUAUAUCUAUUUAAUGUUUAAAUAUCAAUAUUAUCUUCUAUAAAUUGAUUCAAAAUUUAGAUAGUUUGAAUUAAAUCUUUUCUUUUUUUAGAUAAAGGAUAUGUUAUACCCGGCUUCAUCUAUCGACGCGUCCUUUUCUUGGACGGGGGUGGUACUUAUUUCUCUAACCACUACCACGCACGUGUACUGAUGAUACUAGCUAGUAGGCAUCAAGAAAUUUUCCUAACAACUAGCUAGAUACUAAUUUCUUGGACGGAUCGGAGUAGUUACAGAUCUUGAAAUGGCAUGUUCCGUGUAGUUAUACAGUAACUUUUGAAAGUCACAAAGUCGGAAAUCUAAUGACAAAUACCACGAAAGGUUUGUACAAAUUAAUCAAAUUCUAGAAUUUCCCCUUUUGACUGUAACUGAUUUUGUAGAAAAAUAGUAACAGUAUUUAUAACAUUAAAUAAGUUAUAAGAAUAAUACUGAUUUUGAUAUUAUAGAUACUAAUAUAUUUUUCUAUAAGUUUGGUUAAAUUUUAGAAAAAAAUAACUUAAGAUAACUUUUACAGUCGAAUUAUUUAGGGACGAUGGGAAUCUUUUCUUAAAAAAGGAGACGUGUUUUGGCCUCUGUGAACGAACACACAACUGCGAUUACAAUCGAACGGACAAGAUAGACCAAAUUGUUGGAAAAAAUAUUAUUGUUUAUCCAUCUAUUCUUGGCGAAAAAUGACGAUGGAAAUCUGUACGGAGCUAACUGGACGGUCAAGAAUUCCUAUUCAAGUCCAAGUCUAAUAGUCAAUCGUCCAAUGAGAUUGAGGCAUCGAGCAAAUUAGGGCCUCAGCAGUCAGCUCCACUCAGUCUCAAACAUUCACAACGUAUAACCACGCGUAACCACACGUCCAAAGUUCAACCGCGGCUGUGCAUGCAUGCAUGCAUUCUUGUGCGUUUGUUUGUUUGUAAGGAUUUAGCCAUCUCGUUUGUUUUGUAACGCGCGACCACUGGACACAAAAAUAUUUAUAAAAAAGUAGAUUGUUCGAUCAGAUAAAUCCAAGGUACAAUACUAUGAUUUAUUCAAUUAACAAGCGAUAAAGUUUAUUUUGCCCUUAAAAACAUAUGCCCUUACUCUCCCACCUGUUGGAUUCGCUUUAAGAAGUGUGCAAAUACACAUCUUAAUAUAAAAAUACAUUGAGAUGUGUGUUUGCAUACUUUUUAAAGUGAAUCCAAUAAAUAAGAGAGUGAGGACU